rnacentral:rRNA from 1 species
AGUCGAACGAGAAAGCCCUUCGGGGUUAGUAAAGUGGCGAACGGGUGAGUAACACGUGGGCAAUCUGCCCUUCGUAGGGGGACAACCGGGGGAAACCCCGGCUAAUACCCCGUAAGCUUGUCGGGUCGCAUGGCCUGACAAGGAGAGGUAGCUUCGGCCAUCCGGCGAAGGAGGAGCCCGCGGUUCAUUAGUUAGUUGGUGAGGUAACGGCUCACCGAGGCUACGAUGUAUAGCUGGUCUGAGAGGAUGAUCAGCCACACUGGGACUGAGACACGGCCCAGACUCCUACGGGAGGCAGCAGUCGGGAAUCUUGCACAAUGGGCGAAAGCCUGAUGCAGCAACGCCGUGUGAGCGACGAAGGCCCUAGGGUCGUAAAGCUCUGUUGUUAGGGACGAAGGGCGAAGGGUUAAUAGCCCUUAGCCUGACGGUACCUUUCGAGGAAGCCCCGGCUAACUACGUGCCAGCAGCCGCGGUAAUACGUAGGGGGCGAGCGUUGUCCGGAAUUAUUGGGCGUAAAGGGCGCGUAGGCGGCCCGGUAAGUCUGCUGUGAAACCUUGGGGCUCAACCCCAAGCGUGCAGUGGAUACUGUCGGGCUAGAGGAUGGUAGAGGCCAGUGGAAUUCCCGGUGUAGCGGUGAAAUGCGCAGAUAUCGGGAGGAACACCAGUAGCGAAGGCGGCUGGCUGGGCCAUUCCUGACGCUGAGGCGCGAAAGCUAGGGGAGCGAACAGGAUUAGAUACC